UGAGUUUUUUUAACAUAUGUGUGUAAGUAAGAGUGAAAAGUUACUUUUGCAUGGAAGUGAGUUGAAAUCUUCGUGCAUGUAUGUCAGAAUUUAUCAAUCUUCCUUCCUACAUGCAAGUAAGGAUUACAUGUGAUUUUCUUCAUGCAUGGGGGUAAGAUUUUUGCAUGUGUGACAUGGAUGGGUGUGAGCAUUAUGCGUGCAUUUAUCAGACCAAAACCAAAAAAAGUGCCCCAGCUCCUUUGGUGACUCUAGAUAACCUUGGGCCAAUCGCAUGCCCCCCAUGGAGGCAAUAACCCAUUUGAACGUCUGCCCUAUCAACUUUUGAUGGUACUUGCUGUGCCUACCAUAGUGACCACUGGUGAUGGGGAAUCAGGGUUCAAUUCUGGAGAGGGAGCCUGAGAAACGGCUACCACAUCCAAGGAAGGCAGCAGGCGCGCAAAUUACCCACUCCCAACCCGGGGAGGUAGUGACGAAAAAUAACAAUACAGGACUCUUUCGAGGCCCUGUAAUUGGAAUGAGUACACUUUAAAUCCUUUAAUGAGGAUCCAUUGGAGGGCAAGUCUGGUGCCAGCAGCUGCGGUAAUUCCAGCUCCAAUAGCGUA
rnacentral:ncRNA from 1 species